UCAAGAUUUAUUCAGAAAGAAAAAUAAUGAAUUAAGUACAGGAUGCACAGACUUGAAAAAACAAUCUAAUUGAACAUGACUCUUUUUUCGCUUCCAUAUCUACUGGUCUGGGGGAACAGCUGCCUUAUAGAUUGUAACAGAGAAGAUGUGGAAUGCUUAAGAUCUGUAUUUUAUUUUAUUUUAUUUUAUUUUAUUAAGUUUUUUGAAGCAAUGUUAGCCACAAGGUGGCACAGCAAUACAGCCCUGCAAAAAUGAUGCAUCACUGUGACGUGCGGGGAGAAUAAACUGAAAGAGCUCUGGUUGCACACAAAUUCUGACAUUACAGACACUCAUAGAUGGAGUCUAUAUUUUAAUCUAAAUAUUAUUUCACUCUGUGAUCUAUGCUGCCUUAUUAGGUCAGAGGCUCAUUUUCAGCUGAUGUACUGUUUGGCAGAAACUCAGCCACUCAUCAGUAAAAGUAAAUCACUAACCAGUGAAUGAAGCCCAGAGGAUAAUCUGAUGUUUUAAAUCAUUUUUACUGCAGGUACAUGCUUCUUCUUCGUGUAUCACAGUCAUUUGUGUGAUCAUGGGUGUUAAAGCUGAGUAUGUAGGCAGUCCAUUUCGCACACCAUACUGUGGCUGUGGAAACAAAUACAACACAUUUUUUUUGUCCUUAAAACAAAACAGUGUUUUCACUCUGCCUUUAAAAAAGUGGCGUUGUAUUUAUCUGAGAACAAGUUCCUAUUUCACAGCAGAAGAAGUGAGACAGCUACUUUUAGAAAGCGUGUUGCUAGGCCAAGGAGUGUGUUUGCUGUAGUAAGUCCAGUUUUAGCUACAGAGAUCUUCUGCUCGCCCCUGUCUUAUUGCCUAGAAACCAGUUUCGAGCAAGUGUGAAGGAGUGGAAAACUUUUCUGGAGAACCAGCUGCGAGUGAACUGUCGAAAAGGUCAAGAAAGUGGCGUCAGGGACCGUCAAGUUAGAGGAUGCUAAUGCUAACACAGCCAAACUAACUGGAAAGCGUACGAAUUAGCGACUGGAAAAAAGUCACGAGAAUGAAGCAAGAAGUGAAACCAGGUGUACUGCCUGCAUUUAACAAGACAGGGCAACGCCGCGGAAAGAUUGUCUCUGUGCCUCUCCCAGCUUCCUGUCUCCCUAAUCCUUAAUCCUGUGGAAAUCGGUCAGGCAGAAUGAGCCAGCUUUGAUCAGGCUCUCAUAUCAGGCGUGCUAACAGUGUCAGCACCCCCGGAUCCCACAGAACCCUGGAGCCCAGGGGGAGAGCUUCAAACAGGCGUUCACCCCCCAACUCUGCUUGAGAGGAAGGGGAAAGGGAGGCUGCGGAGUUCCUGUUUCAACUGCCAGCCACAAACUCUGACAUCAAGUCAAGAAUGUCAUUUUUUAAAAUUUAGCAAACAUUUGCAUUGUGAUUUGACACCACUUAUAAACUAAACUUGCUGUGUGAAUAGAGAUCAGCAGCCAGUGUAAAACCACAUGCACCUGAGAACAGUCCACAGUACAGAGUACAGAUACAUGAAUGUCACUUCUGCUUUUGUCAGUGGUGUCCAUGACAGCAAGUAUGGCAUCUGUGUCGCUGGUGUUUUGGUAUUGUGAUCCACAGCCAGGGAUAAUACUUGCUGGAGUGGCAUGUCGCGAAACACCUGGUGAUCUUGUGGCACAAAUGCAUCAUUAAAGGUCAGCUUUGUACACAGUUAGGGAAAAAGAAAUACACAAACUGAAAUGUGCCAAAGCGAUUUCUGCUUUGUGCCCAUUUUUUUGUUCAGCCCUGAAGAUAUGUUUGGAAUGGUCACUGCAAUAGAAUAAUUCAACAAACACGCUGCCUUCACAUCAGGUUAGUGUUUGAGGAGGGUAACCUUUUUAAAAAUCAUUGCAUUCUUUUAAUAAUUGAUUGUCUCUGUAUGCAGAUGUAGAAAGAUUAUCCUAUAGAUUAGGAUUAUGUCAAAGAGUAAUUCAGACAGCAUACAACCUUGCAGAACCAACAGAAAUUGUACAUAAAGGUUUUCUCUUCUCACAACCACAUGACCUGGAGGUUUGAGCUCUCUGCAGAUCUACAACAAUACUGACAGUGUACUCAGUCUCCCCAUUUAAUCAGUUCGGAAGUGUAAUCAGGUGCUUUAAAUCAGCCAGAGAAAUGAAGCAUUUAGCCGAGCCAGUCUGCCGGAUGUGCAACAUCUGAUACGUGACCACCUGUUAUAAUGAGCUCUAUUCUUAAACUGAAGAUGGUAAAGGGAAAACUCAUAGCACUGUUGUCAUUAUUCUGGUUUAUAAAAGGUUAAAGUUAAGUGUAAAUUUUGCAAACAGGACCUACACCGUGAUGUGGUGUCUGCAUCAAUUAUUGCACCAAAUAAUGGAGCAGAUGAAGUUCUUAUAUGGCUAGAACAGUAAAUUCCUCAAAGUGGAAGUGCCUGAAGAAAAAGAUAAUAUAUAUUAUAUAUAAAUCCUCUUUUUUUGUAAGACUCACUACCCUUGCAUGCUGUAGCCUUGACUACCUUUCCCAAAGUAAAUGCUGACAUCUAGUGGACACAUCUAUGUUCUACACUGUGUCUGUGGUCUAUUUGAAUACGUUUUUGUUUUGAGCAUUAAAAUAAUUUAUUAAAAAGUAAUAGGAUUUAUAUGCGUUAUAAAUUAAAUUAUUAACAUUUUUAACACAAAUUCCUAUCAGUGCAACAUCAAAAGAGCAAAUUUCAACUGAAGUUAAAAGUGAAAGACUUCUUAUUGGUAUUUCCUUUGUAAAAAAUGUAGCAGUGGACAGAUUACUUAAAUCUCUCAUUUAUUUACUUAAUGAUGACUACACCCUGUGCUUAUCUUAGUGCACUUUACACACAACAAUUCAGAUAUUAUACUGUUAUCUACUUUCUUACAGCUAUUUUUAUUUACACUUACAUAAGCAACACCUUUCUGUAACUUAUGUAGUUUUUUAUAAAAUGGGUGUCAUCGACUUGAAUCUAAAAAUGCUGUUAGCAAUCAAGACUUGAUUAACAAUAUUUACACAAUACUCCCUCCUGGAUAUUGAUAUUUCUCUUUUUGUAGAAUUGUGAUUUUUAAAAAUGCAAAUAAAGACUUUUGUCACAGA